AACGAACGCUGGCGGCAGGCCUAACACAUGCAAGUCGAACGCCCUCUUCGGAGGGAGUGGCAGACGGGUGAGUAACGCGUGGGAACCUACCUAGUAGUACGGAACAACACAGAGAAAUUUGUGCUAAUACCGUAUACGCCAACGGGAAAGAUUUAUCGCUAUUAGAUGGGCCCGCGUUGGAUUAGCUAGUUGGUGAGGUAACGGCUCACCAAGGCGACGAUCCAUAGCUGGUCUGAGAGGAUGAUCAGCCACACUGGGACUGAGACACGGCCCAGACUCCUACGGGAGCAGCAGUGGGGAAUAUUGGACAAUGGGCGCAAGCCUGAUCCAGCCAUGCCGCGUGAGUGAUGACGGCCCGGUGUAAAGCUCUUUCAACGGU
rnacentral:rRNA from 1 species